AGAUUUUACUGCAGCAUGGCUACACAGAGAUUUCAGCUUGUGGUCGAAGGACAGACCAGCUCCAACAUAUUGCUUAUAUUGCAGGAGAAACAACAUGCAGCCUAGCCAAGAAAUUCAACUGCUAUGUUUUUGAAGCCAGAACAAAUGAGGAGGCUAAAUUUGCUCUUUGUGCCAUUGCUCAAGGUUUUGAAAGAACACACCUGCUGUUGUGAUCAAAGAAAGGCAACUGUGCUUCCACCCAAAAAAUAUAUUUAAUUUUUUUUUUACAUUUUUGUUACUUGUUGGUAGAUUUGGUUAAGGUUUAUUGUUAUAUUUUGCCUAUAUUUAUGCUUUAUUUCUAUCAUUUUGUGAAAAUGGUGCUUUUUGUUUUUUGUAAUAAAAAUACUUGAUUUAUUAACAUGGUUAGGAGAAUAUGUUCCCUAGGAAUUUAAAAGAAAUAAAACCAAUUUUUUUUCCUCUUUUUUGUAAAGGAAUUUAAUCUAGUUGUUCCUGAUUUAGAGGUGCACAUUUGCAUAUAUCAAAUAAUUUGCUGUUAUUGUUAAUAAGAGGUAUUUUGGAAUAAUUCCAUAAUUUCUUUAAAAUUAUUUGUACAAUUUAAUAGCAGUUCAAAAAAUGAAAGUUUUAUCCCAUGUGAUUAUAAAUGAAACUCAUUUGAAUUUAUAAUUGUGAGAUUCAUGGCUACUAAGUUUGGAUGUAACUGUCAUAUGAUUGAAGUAUAAAAGACAUGAUGGAUGUUUGUGAAAUUUUCGAACAGCCCAUGUUUAUUUUAGCUUAUAUUACGCUGAAUUUGUACUGUAGGCGUACUUUUUUCCACGGGGUCAUGAUUCCGCAGAAUCUCCAUUUCUGUUCAAUCCAUUGGUAGCAUAUUAUGCGCAUAUCUUAAGACUCUCCUUAUAUGCCUUUUAUAUGCAUUAAGUUCGAUGUGACAAAUUUGUAGCUGCAUACAUAGCGUAAAUUAAUAUCACGCAGAAAAAAGUACUUCUACAGUAUUUGGUAGAAUAUGUCCUCAAAUACCUUGUAAUAAAAAUCAAUGCAAUACUCAAGUCACACAAUUUCAUAUUGUUAAAAAAAAACAAACUAUUUUAUGAUUCGUACAGAAAGAAAUCUUUUGAUAAUUCAUUUUUUUUACUCCUAUAUAGAAAUUAAUGACUGAUGCAUGAAUUUCAUGUUUCCAUAGAUGAAAUAAAUAUGUAUAAAUAUCUAAAAAGCUCUCAACUGCUGAAAAACAUUAAUUUCCUCGGGAGUUUUCAAUGGGCAUAAAUGUAUGUAUAUAUACAAAUGGUUGUGAACAAUAUGAUUUGAUUUUUAUUUUUAUGUCCAUGUGUUUGAAUGGAAUCUCAUCUCAAGAAUUAGUUUUGCACAGUAAAACUGUCAUGUUUUUAUAAUUUUUACAAAAUAUUAUGACAUUAAAUAUAGAGAUGUGAUAAUAUUGGAAAUUACAUUUUUGGGGGAUAUCAAGACUUUUGGUGUAGCAAUAAUCAUUUUGAUUAUAUAUGUACAUUUACAUCACUGUAUGUUAAAAAAAAUACAGUAAAACUCGGUUAUAACUAAGUCACUGGGACCUAUGGAAUUACUUUUCUAUUAUCCGUAAUUCAUUAUAUCCAUAGAAGGCAUUCAUUAAAUAUUUAUAGCUGGGGAUUAAAGAUAACUAUGCUAUAUCCAUAAUUUGUUAUGUAUAAGGAUUUUUUUGUUUAUAUAGUUGGGGAUUCAAGAUAACUUUGCUUUAUCCAUGAAUUUGCAAUAUCCAUGUUCGUUCUAAAUGAAUUUUACUUACACUGUUAAUAUAUGUAUAAAUUAAUUAACUUUUUUUUUUUAAAUGUUGACAUUGCAUUUUGCUGGCAUGUGAAAACCAAAUGAAGUGAGUUCUGCAAGCAUAAGAAAAAUAAUCAAAUUUACUUGGAGAUCGAGAAUAAUUUUUUUUAUCAUUAUUUUUUUCUUUUUUUGCAAAUACAUGUAGAUAUUUUAUAAUGAUGAAAAUAGUUAUCUAUAUAUAUUAUAUGGUGCAAAGAUAUCACAUAAUUUGAUAUUUCUUAUUUAGUUUCACCAUGCAGGCAGAGACAAAUUCUCUUAAUCUGUCAUCAAAUUCACCUGUUUUUAAAUUAAUUCAUGUCAUAUUGUCCAAAGAACUGCAUUUAAAAAAAACUCAAUAAUUCUUGGUCUUGGAAAUCCAGCAAUUUUAUGAAGGAUGGAGAGAAAUGUCAUAAUCACAGAAUGAACAAAAUGACUUUUGGUUGUAAAUUAAUAUUAGUGUAUAUUUAGUUGAUAAUUCAGAUCUUCCAAUCACCUUACGUUCCCUACAAAAUGUUAGAAUUUUUUUGUUUUUUAUAUUUCACUUAUUUCACCAACAGAUAGUGUUCAUUAUAUUUUCUUGUUACCUUAUUUAUUUUUUGUUGAGGGAUAUGACAUAUAUUAAUUUAUGUAUUUAUUAAAA